ACACAUACAUAUAAAUACAUGCAUUCAUAUGUAUAUUAUUUACGUCCGUUGAAGUACUAUAUUUAAUUUUUAAUAACAUACAAACGCACAUACAGUUAUUAAGGACAAAGAUAAAGCGGAGGAGUUGUCGUCACUUAGCAGAAAUUAGUUAAAAAAAGCAAACGCCUCAACUGAUGAAAUUGGUUUUAAAGUUAACGCGCCCAGUUUCAUCGAAGUAUAAUACAUACAUAUACAUAAAAUUUAAGCGCUCUCCUAGCAAAUAAAACAACAAUAAUAAUAUGUAUGUAUAUGAAAACAAACGUUUGAUAUAAUAAAAUCCAGUAGCAGUUCAGAUUUUGCACAAUUAGUGAACAAACAAAGUAACAAAAUUAAAUAGCAACAAAUGUGCGAAACGUUAUAUAAGAAAGCUUUAAUGUAAUAGAUUUUUAAUUAUAAAAAAAAAAAACAUUUUAUAACUUUGAAGAAAUUACCGAAUUCUGCUGCUUUUUAAAGUAAACUCUAACAAAAACAAUUGAAUCCGUUAAAAAUAAUUAAUUUGGAAUUCUGUUUUAAGGUUUAUGCAUUGCAAUACUUUUGAUUACUUAUUUUAUUACAUACAAACAAACACAUACAUAGUUAAAAGAGUAAAAACAUUUAAACAAACCCACUUUACAAAAACAACACACAAAAGCAAUGUUUAACCAACUGUAAAUCCACCAAGCCGUAUUGUAUUAUUGUAGCGAAUAUUUAGAAGAAGAACAGAAAAACAUUUGAAACUGCAUCGUUUAUAUGAAAAAAAUUAUAUACAUACAAAUAUAUAAAAUUAAAAUGAUAACAGCGGGCAGGCAGUGCGUACAUUUGGUGCCAAUGGACGAUUUUCGUUGUAAAGUCGUUGUAAGUAACUAAUUGUUAAAAUAAAGGUAAAAUAACGUACUAAA